rnacentral:misc_RNA from 1 species
GUGAGUCAUCGAAUCUUUGAACGCACAUUGCGCCCGGCAGUACUCUGCCGGGCAUGCCUGUUCGAGCGUCAUUUCAACCCUCAAGCCCUGCUUGGUGUUGGGGUCCUACGGCUGCCGUAGGCCCUGAAAGGAAGUGGCGGGCUCGCUACAACUCCGAGCGUAGUAAUUCAUUAUCUCGCUAGGGAGGUUGCGGCGUGCUCCUGCCGUUAAAGACCCCAUCUUUAACCAAGGUUGACCUCGGAUCAGGUAGGAAUACCCGCUGAACUUAAGCAUAUCAAUAAGCGGAGGA